AAAGCCCAACCAAACAUCUGACAGGGAGGGAAGAGGCGAAGCACCACCGACUUCCCAAGAUGCUGGCACUAAUAAACCGGCUUUUAGACUGGUUCAAGUCUUUAUUUUGGAAGGAAGAGAUGGAGCUGACCCUGGUCGGCCUCCAGUAUUCAGGAAAAACGACGUUCGUCAACGUAAUUGCCUCUGACGAAACCCUAAUUGGAGUGAUGGUUGAUGAGAUGAAGAGGCUGCUGAGGAAGCUGAUGUCCAAAUUUGUGCAAAUGGAUGUGAUCAGGAAAGCUGAGGAUAUCCUAGAUGUUGAUUACAGGAACAAGGAGAACUGGCAUGACACAGGCAACAUAGCAGUAUCACAUGAUGCCAGACAAUGCAUGGAGCAAGUUGAAGACUAUCUCUGAUGCCACCAAAAAGAGGUUCUUCGACAGUGUAGUCAAUUUUUACACAAGUGUUGUGACCAAAAUGAACUUGAAAAAAAAAAUGGUUGCAUUUUGUCUAAGCGAUUGUCGUGCGCGCGCGCGCGCGCGUCAUCGGGGUUAGCAAACAGAAAUCUCCCUAUUUGCAAUUUCUACAACUUAACAGGUAUGGUUGUACUCUGGAGCGACUUAUGUGUGCAAUUAUUAACACAUUAUGAUAUCAUUUCACAUGUUAUUUUGGUGUUUAGGAGUGACACUGAAAGUUUGGUAAAUUUGUUAGCAUGUUCUUGAUGGGAGAAAUAUAAUAUAUAAUAUGACCCGGAAUGAAAUGGCACAUUGGGUUGAUUCCCUUAGUGACUGUAUCAGCCUAUUGUGAUGAAUCCCUUUUAUGACUAUAACCUUAUUUUCGCCACUUUGGCGUCCUUAUGAUGUCAUCUUCGCUACUUUGGCGUCCUUAUGAUGUAGGAUUCCCUUUGCCUUGAUGUUAUCUUCGCCACUUUGGCGUCCUUAUGAUGUAGGAUUCCCUUUGCCUUGUUUUCCUCGCCACUUUGCCAUCUUUGUUAUAUGUGAUUGCAAAACAUGUGUCACAAACACAUCUAGCGAUAUCAUUGGGCGAGUGGUCAUCAUCUGAGAAAGGAGGUUGGCCCCCUCUCGCUGACGUGAUGUACCACUAUAAAAGCUAGGAUUUUUCCUUCCCCUGUUAGUCAGCCGUGGUAGUCGUACGUAUCGCUCGGCCUGUAUUCCUCUGCAACUCUCUCGGGGUGUUGGCUCUCCGCCUGCUUGUCAACGCAGUGCCGUCUGACAGUUAUGUCGGGAGAUCCAUCAGUUUUCUGGAACGUCGCCUGGGGACUAGUAUCAACAUGAUGCUUGGAGCAGUGGUUUUGUCCGCUGGUGUGGUUAUAUCUAACCUGAGGCGCAAAACAGGAAUGCUUCAGUGUGACUUGAGACCCGACAACGACCCGGCACCCGUCCAUGGCGUUACCAACGACAACGACCCGGCGCCUCAUAGGGGAGUGUGACUGACGGUGCAGGGCCCUGGCCCAGGCUCGUGAGCCUCUUCAAACUGCGGGAGAUAUUAAUCGGCCCCCAGGGAGGGGGAACUACUUUCCGCCCGGUGCGCGUCGUCACCCGGAGGUGGGAGAUAGGGAUAAGAGUACUUGACGAAAAUCAAAUCAAUAAAAUCAAGUUUAAUCCAAAUGACUGACAGCAUAUGUUGCAUUUAAUGCCAGUUCCUACACAAGGCAUGUUGACAAUGCAUGUCAAGCAUGUAGCAGUCCAUGAGUUGGUCAAACGUUCCGAUUUGUUGGUUUCCGUCUGAGGACUUGUUCGUGAUUGCAGCUAAUGGAUCGAAAAACAAUACACAUACUAUCACUCGUUUUUUAUCCAAAUAAUGUGCGUGGCAGUCCUCUUGUGUGCAAAGUAAGGUGUUUUUAUCAUCUCUUGGGCAGAGCAGGAGAUAGUCAUGUAGGAUUUGUAAUGGGCAAAGCAAAGUUGACUCCUCUUCCAGAGCAAACAAUUCCAAGGUUGGAACUCUGUGCUGCUGUGCUUGCGGUAGAGUUAGCAGACCUAAUCUCGGAAGAGCUCGACCUCCAGCUGGAUGCCACAACCUUUUAUACAGACAGCAAAGUAGUUUUGGGCUACAUUUCCAAUGAAACCAGGCGCUUCUACGUUUACGUAAGCAACCGGGUGCUACGUAUUCGAAGGUGACAUAAAAUUGAAGCUUGGAUCAUUUUUAAUUUGAGCCUGUUGGCUGACAAAUUCUACAAAAUAGUGGAAGGGAGGAAAUGAAACAUUAUAUUCCUGCUUGUACAGUGAACCAAUUGUUGCCCACUUCUCCUGCAUAUUAAAUGGAAGUUUUUGCACAAUUGGGUGAAUGCCUCUUGCUGUGUCAAGAAAAGAGAGACCAGGCAGGUCUCCUUCUGCUCUGGCUGAUUCAAGUUCCAUCAGAAGAUCACUCAAUUUUGUUAAUUUUGAAUGAUCUCGGUUUGCUAAUUUUGGAAAGGCAUCCACUCGUUUGAAGAGAGCAUCUUCUAUUGCUUCUGCUGAGCCAUAAGUUCGUUCGAGCCUAUCCCGUAUCAUGUCCAAUCCCGUUUGUGGAUUGUUUAUGUGUAUUGCUCUUAUCUGUUCAACAUGUUCUGACGACUCUUUGCCAAGCCACCUAAGCAGAAGGUCCAUCUCUUCACAUGGUGUCAGGUUCAAGUCUUGUGUGGCGUUCUGAAAAGAACGUUUCCAUGCACGAUAGUUUUGUGGCUUGUCAUUAAACUGAAGCAAACCUGUAGCUACAAGUUCCCUUCGAGCAAAGUACCUUACAAAGUCACUCAUAUUAUCAUUGUUGUUGUUGGAGACUGAAGGUGUGUUGACGCGUUGAGGUACGUGAUGAACAUUCACAUGUCGAUGUCCAGAUAGCAGCAUAGGAGUGUCACAUGGUUUCUCGAACAUCACUCCACGAUGCCUUUGAAGACCUUCAUCCUUAUAAGUGUGAGUUCGUUGUGUGGUGAGAUGAGAAGAUGCAUGAGCUUGGUUUGUUAAGAAAGGUUUAGCUUCCGGUUUAAGCUGUGAAGGAGAAUAACUGUAAGUGUGACUUGGUUCCGUUUUUGGCAGGACACCAGCAUCAUGAAGUUCUGACUCUCUUUCUUUCGCUUGUUCGGUAACAUAUUGUUCAAUGCGUUUUUGAGCUUCUAAAAGAGCAGAAUCAGCACUUAAACUGCUGCGAUGCUCUUCCAUCUCGUUCUCUACAGCAGCUUCGAGUGCUUCUGCCUCAGCAACGGCUGCUGCCGUUUCUUUUUUAGCAUUGAGCAAGUCCAUGGAUGCUUCCAACUUAGCUUUUUCAAGUUUCAACUUCAUCUCUUCUUCUGCGUAGAGAAGACGUGCUUUUGCUGCUUCUGCUCUCGCCCUUGCCCUGGCUGCGGCGGACCCAGUUGAUGAAGCACUUAAAGAGUUUGAGGUGUGGGAGCGCGUCUUUAAUGAAGCUUCUGUAGCUUCCAAAAUGACAUCGCAGGGCACGGUUUCUCAAAAGACGGGCACUUUAUUGCUUUUCUGUGAAAUGCCUUCGAAUGCCGUGAAAACUAAAAGAUGUACAAAUAAAGCUUAGACACUUAAACAAAAAAAGGUAACGUGCUAAACAGAAAACAAAGCUAACCUCGUGGCCGCCUGCCACUUUGGAGGUCCUGGGCGAUUGAACGCGAACUCGUGUGCAUACAAAGCUUUACAAAACAAUAGUCCAAUUAAUAACAGUUACAAACACAUUGUACAUAUCAUAAUAUAACAGAAAAUACCUUGCGCAGCUAGCACCUGUUUAUUUCUAUGCAGCUCGUCAAGUCUCUGCUGCUGCGUGUGGCUUAAUGGAAGUCCUUUUUUGUCUGAGCGAGAGCAGGUCUCGCUGUAACUCACGCCACGCAAAUCUCGCGAGACUAGUGGUAACCAAAGCAAUUACUAUACAAAUAUUUACAAACAAGUAAUUUUCAAUAUGAAUGAAACGACUUUCAAUAAAUACUGUAACUUUUUACCUUCAACAAUUACUAAAACAUUAUUUUAAUACAAGAACUAUUUGUUAACCGUUACACUCCCACAACUAGCCAGGAAUCAAACAAUUUAAUGCAUUCAUUCGUUUUCCAUGUUGCUAAUCCAUCGUAGGCAUUUAUUUACGGCAUAUCAUGGACUUCAUUACCUAUUGACAUGACAGUUCGUCAUUCUUUGCGUUUAACAGUUUUAGCUCUGUGGCAUGAUGCAUUGUCCACUUGGAAAAUGACAUUUUCAAUUGAAGGGAUAAGAAAGCUGUCUAAAAUUUCAAUGUAAACUUGUUUAAGGUUUAACCACAGCCAUCUCCCCAGUGUCUUUGCCUGACAUGCAGCCCCAUAACAUAAGAACUGAGGGAAUUUUGAUGUUUUCUUCAGGCAGUCAUCUUUGUAAAUCUCACUGGAACGGCACCAAACAAAAGUUCCAGCAUCAUCACCUUGUCCAAUGCAGAUUCUUGACUCAUCACUGAAAAUAACCUUCAUCCAGUCAUUCACACAGUCCACGAUUACCUCUCCUUAGCCCAUUGCAGUAUUGUUCUUUUAAGUUUCAAUGUGUGUCAAAAUUAAAGCCCACAACAUGCUGCCUUGACAUCCUUCCUUCAAACUUUAUCAAAACUGUUUUUUAUAGCCCCAGACAUACUUCAGAUUAAAAGGCUUCUCUCCAAACAGCAGAGUUUCCACAGACUUUAAAAACCUCUUCUAAAAAAAAAACAAAUCUGGAUGCCUCAACCAUUAGUAAUUAUAGGCUCAUAUCAACUGACAUUCCUGGGGAAAAUUAUCGAAAGGGUUGUGUUCGAACAGAUUCAGGUUUUUAUGAUGCAAAACAAUCUUUUUAACUCAUUUCUGUCUGGAUUUCGGCCACAACACAGCUCUGAGACCGUGCUUAAAGUCCUAAAUGAUAUUCGUCGGAAUACUGAUACAGGCAAAUCAUCUGUUCUGCUACUAUUGGAUCUCAGCGCCGCAUUCGACAUGGUUGAUAACAACAUACUACUCAUCAGAUUGUAACACUGGGUAGCGCUUACUAACACUGUUGUUCAGUGGUUCACAUCUUAUUUACAUGAUAGGUAUUUAUUUGUAUCAAUCGGAAACCAUCAGUCGGAACGAACCAAAUUCACGUGUGGAGUCCCUCAAGGGUCAAUUCUUGGACCACUCUUAUUUAACAUCUAUAUGCUUCCCCGAGCUCAGAUUAUGGAACAGUAUGACAUCUCCUAUCACACCUCUGCAAAUGGCACACAACUCUACAUUUCUGUGUCCCCACAUGAUUAUAGUCCCUUAGUCUCCCUGAGUAAAUGCAUUCAUCAUAUCAAUGAAUAGAUGUGCCAGAAUUUUCUCCAGUUAAAUGUGAAGAAGACAGAAGUGAUCAUUUUUGGGCCAAAAAAGGAAAGGUCAAAGAUUAGGAGGCACCUUAGCAAAAUGUUACUUACAGCUACAAAUCAAGUCAAAAACCUUGGCGUUAUUAUUGACUCAGACCUAAAAUUUGAUAGCCAUCUAAAGUCCGUCACUAAAUCUGCUUAUUACCACCUAAAAAAUAUUGCUAGAAUUAAGGGGCUUCUGACUCAACUAGACAUAGAAAAACGUAUGCAUGCAUUCAUUUUCAGCAGAUGGGACUAUUGCAACAGUAUAUUUACAGGUCUUGAUAAAAAGUUCGUCAGGAAGCUGCAGCUAGUACAGAAUGCUGCAGCCAGAGUCCUCACAAAUACAAGUUAAACCGGACCACAUUACACCGGCUUUGAAAUCGUUACACUGGCUUUCAGUGAGUCUAAGAACAGACUAUAAAAUACUACUGCUCGUCUACAAAACACUUAAUGGCUUUGGACCAAAAUACAUGCUUGAUUUGUUAGAUUCUUGUGAAACAUCUAGACCCCUAAGGUCGUGUGGAACCGGUCUCCUGUAUGUUCCAAGAACGGAGCUGGGUGAAGCAGCAUUGAGUUAUUAGCUGGAACAAGUUACCUGAAGGUCUAAAGUAUGCUCAAACUGUUAGUUCCUUUAAAUCAGGGCUAUGAACGCUUUUGUUUAGCACUGCAUAUCCAUAACAGCAGUAUUUCGCAAGAGCCCGAGGCUGCCGUAUUGUCCGUCAUUUUUUAGAUCUAUUCUCAUUGUUUUCAAUUAGUCGUGCAAGUUAUAGAGCAAUUCAUGGAAGCCCCAGUGUUAUCUGACGCUGUAAACUCAUUGGAUGCGUUGCAUAAAAUGCGUUAUGUGGAAAAGCUUCAGUCUAUCCAUUCACCAGAUCCAUAUUUGAUGCCUAAAUCGAUAUUUUUCGACCCGCUGUCUUCGCCCUCUCUGCCUGACAUCUGCUACCCUGAUAUCUACAACUAUCUUGUCCACACAAAAUCAGCCUAUUCUCACAAAAGUUUGAAAAACUUUAAGAGCAGCACUUUAAGCAAAAUUACAUUACCCCGUGUGACCCUUUACUUCCAAUUUUCUAAAAUGGCGACAAUCAAUAAAAAAAAAUUGUUUUAAAAAGGUGACUGCGACGCGUCAAGGAUAGGCGCAUUUUGGACUAUUUCUUCGCAUUUUGGACUAUUUCUUCAAUAAAAUACACAACUGUGUCUGCCUCAUUUGCAAAAAGACAGUCGCGGAAGAUACGCAACGAGAAAUUAAAGCAACUUGAAGCUAAUUUAAUUUCACAGCAGCAGUAUUUCGCAAGAGCCCGAGGGUCGAAAGAGAACGCCACAAAGGCAAGAUUGUUGAAAUUUUAUAUUAAAAAAAAUAAUAAUAAAGCAAAUAUGACACACAGAAGGGCUUGCUAAAAUUUCUUUAAAUGUAUUGUUCUACGUAAAUCAACCCAGGUAGCCCCCCACAUUUUUACCACACCAAAUCUUGCCCCCUUUGCAAAAAGUUUGGACACCCCUGUUUAACUGAUGAUCCGUAGACGAGGCCAGCUUCUUUCACUUGGUACCAGCUAAAUAUUACCGUAAUUUCCCGAAUAUAACGCGCACUUUUUUUCCCCCCAAAAUCAACUGGUAAACUCAUGGUGCGCAUUAUAAACGGGUACAUGGAUGGAGACAGAAAUAUAUAUGUAUUACAUAUAUAUAUAAACCGAUUUUUUUCAUUGACACGGCCACGUUGUGUUGAAGAAACGUAUGCGGCCACCCGUUGCCGACCAUUGCGGUACGUGACGUCACCGUUUUGUUUCGGUAUUACUUCAUUCGGCCAAAUGAUUUCGUCUGUGUUAAAUUCUGCUUUUUUCACUCUUCAUAAAGCACAGAAUUUAGUUUCUUGAACUCAUUUGAGUCGACGUUUAUUGCAGCUCCGAAAUUCGGACUAUAACAAAUGUAAGGACACACACUUCCUGUGUCCGUCAACUAUAUCGGUCCCUCGGGAAACUCAAACCCAAAUAACAAUAGUUCCUUUUGUUACUAGUGUCGUGCUGACAGCUAUGAGCCUCUCACGGAUUUCCGACUUACGUUCUCACUUUCAUUUUACCGUAUCAAUCCAUGGAAGAAACAUUUAUUCAUCAUGAGGAAACGAGCAAGUUAUACAGCAGCCUUUAUAAGAAAAGUCACAUCUGUUUUGUUUUCUCCUAGAUUCUGGUAAGUUGGAGAAGUUGUCAAAUCAUAGCCUGGCUCUGCCAGACUAUUCUCCCUGUAUUUUUCAAACACUGAGAGAAAUAGUCUGGAACCCCUCCCAUUAACGGCCUUUUCGAGCAGAUACAAAAUCAAUCGACAAAUCAGAUUCGUUUAUUUGCGUCACGUGUUCUUCACAAGCAACGUCACUCUUGCGCGUCGAAAGUCGUCCCUUCAGCAACACAGACGGUGAACGGCAGAGCCGAGAAUAUGUUCCAAUCCACGGUAAAAUCAGUUUUAAAUGACCAAAAACACAUCGACACGAGUCACUGACAACAAUCUGUCUCGCGCUAGCCAUGUCGAAUAAACUCCGCUCUCUUCGUAUGUUUACUUCCGCGCGCAAGUCCGUCAUCCUGAAGUCGCCAUUUUUCUAACGUCACGUCUGCCCGUCGCUGAUUGGUCCACUCCGCUGUCUGUAUGCUGUGGCUUGCUCCGCCCUGGAAAUUGUUUCCGUGGGAAGGGUGGCCAGACUCAAUAGCUGGAACAGCGUUGAGUCUGGUGUACCAGGCUAGUCAAAUCAUAUUAUUACCGUAAAUAUUGUCAGUUCACGUUAAUGUUUUGAACUACCAAUGUGCUAUGCUUGAGCUGUGUUUCACCAGUCAAUAAAAUGACAUCUCUGUAUCUGUACACAAGCUCUGUUUUCUUGUAUUCUUCUAUUUAUUGGUGCUAAAAUUAGGGUGCGCGUUAUAAACGGGUACAAUAAUUUCCCCUAGAUUUUACAAGUAAAUUUGGGGUGCGCAUUAUACACGGGUGCGCCUUAUAUUCGGGAAAUUACGGUAUUCAAAAAAUAAUGAUGGUGUAAGAAAUAAACAUCUUGAAUUUGAAACUGUAUGUUUUCGGCGAUUAGCCUCGCAAUGAUCUUAAUUGUGGUUGUCAGCCCAAAACCCUCUAAACAUAUAUUAAAUGCAUCUUACCAGGUGUAAAAUGACUACUACAUAGUCUGUGGUGAUCGUUUGGUGCCCAGUUUUCUCGUCGAAUUGCAGCAGUCCGUCUCGCUCUCCUCUCCGGGUCUCUCGGAAAACGGUAGAACUUCAAGUCUCUCCGUCUAUCUUCUCUGUUACUGCAACCAACCGCCACACACGCCUUCACCAUUUUGAUUAUUAAUGUUAACGAGCAGAAAAACACGCCAUAAUAGGAGGAAUUUACGUAGCGGUCAUGCAUAAACCCGACGAGCUGACGGAC